rfam:Sorghum bicolor cultivar BTx623 chromosome 1, whole genome shotgun sequence.
CAAAUUUGUCCUCAGUCAAACUUUUCUAACUUUGACUAAGUUUUAGAGAAAUAUGUUCACGUGUACAAGUUCAAAUAAAUGCACUAUCAAGACAUAUUUCAUAGAGAAUUUGGUGAAACUAGUUUGAUGUUGUAGAUGUUGAUGCAAUUUUCUAUAAACUUGGUCAAAGUUAGAGAAGUUUGACUUAGGACAAAGCUAA